CUCGCACCUUUCCUUGCCAGCACGUAGCAAAUUGUGUACAUCUGGGGGAAGCAAAGCUGGAGACCCACUCCGUAGGGGCAGGAUGUCUGAAACAACAAAACGGCCGUGGGGCAGAGGCCACCUCCCAAACCGAACACAAACAUGGCCUGGGCCCGUGGCUGAAAAAAGAAGUGUUUAAAGCUGUCGCAGCACGUCUCCGAGGCUGCCGGCUCGCUUCCAGGGCUGGCGAGGAAGGGGGUCCAGGAGUGAGGAGGCAGGCGGUCUUGGCGGUCUCCGGCUCCCCGUGCCCUGAGCCAGCGAGGACCCCGCCAUUGAAGGCUCGGCCAACGAAAGCUCAGCAUGGAGGGUAGCAAAGCGAUGCUUCCCCACCAGGAAGUGACAUCCGGUAAUUGCAUCCAGCGUGCUUUGGGGUGAACUGGUGACACCGGAGAAUGCAUGUGAUCACACCGAGGUCUGCAGGCACCAGCUUGCAUGCACCUACCUCCUCAGUGGACACGGGUAGUGCUGCCAUCUAGAAUCUUCCUCCAUCUUCCAAGCCGUCAGCCGGUGGCGGGGGGGGGGGGGUCAGAGGCCCCCCCAUCUUGCAGGGAGGCACGCCGGCGCAAUUCUUGUUACGUGCGAGGCAGCGACGUGGCCGGGUCGUACCUUCCAGGGUGACGAGACACUCCGUUCCCGCAGGCACAGUGAUUGGCUCACGGGUGGUCAUGUGACACGAGCCUGGCCAAUCAGAAGGCUGAGCCUGAAAUUCCUGAGAAGGAGGCGUUCUCUGGAAUGGUUAUCCUACCGGGGAUUGUAAGCCGCUGGGGGCCCCGCCUCGUGUUCAUCCCGAGUGUAGCAGAAGCUGCUGACGCCGCGCCCACCUGAGUUCGGCUACGGCGGUGCCAGGCUGUUCCCAGCUCAGCCACCUGCUUCUCUUGUUCUCUGCCUGAAGGCUUCCGCUGGCGCCCAGGACCCUCCUCUCAAGCUUGAAGUGAGAGAGAGCUGAUAGACUCAGACAACCUUCGCCAACAGGAAACGGAAAGCAGCGGCUUAACGCUAGGGUGCCCCUGCUCUCUGAUGGGAUGCUCUCUGAUGGGACGGUCCUGAGCGCGCCCUACGCGGUCUCUAAGAACAUCCCAGGGUGACUCGCCCACAGUGGUCACCGGCUCACCAGUGCCUCGUGGAUCGCCGUUUCUCCCACCUCAGUCCCACCUCCCCCGCUUCCUCCCUUGUGCUUCUCUUGCCGGCAGGAGAGUCUGCGCCGUGUGUAGGGAGGUCUCGGUUAUUGGAUUCCCCAAGAAAAGGUCUGCGGAGGGAUCUGUGUUCCCGUAAAGACAGCCGGAAGGAAAGCAGCUAGCAUACGGCAGUUUGUUAAGGAUAGUAUGCUCUCAGGACAGGAGGCUGGGCAGGCCCAGAGGUGGAAACUGCCCUGUGGCUGCAGGGGUCUUGGGUCAUGGCCAUGGUGACAUGGUGGUCUCUAAUAGAGGCUGCUUCCAAUCAUUUGGGGGACUCCUCCCCCUGGUCAGGAGGGGGAGUUUUUGACCCUUUAAGGUUUGUACCAGAACCGACAUGGUAGCCUUCCUCCAUUGGGGGGCCGGGCGGCGAGGGUAAAACCACAAUGCAGAUGCAUCAUAAAGAGUCUAGGGAUUACCGCAGGGCAGAGGUGAAGAGAAGAGAGCGUGUUCUGCACCUGUAGCUCUUGGUCUGUCAAUCCCGCGGUGCUGGAAGCCAUCAGGCCAGGAUGUUGAGAGCCACAAAGUCAGGCUGCUGUGCCCCCAAGCUUCUAAUGUAUAACCUACUUAUCACCGCCCUUGCCUCCGGCUCACCUCUAACUAACUGCCUACUCUAUCACUUCCUGGGGUCACCUCCUGUGUUAGUUUGGUGCCCCCGAGAAGCACGUGCCCAGAUGAGAUUAGACAUGCAAGGAGUUUAUUGGGAGAAGUAUUCGUAAAGGCAAACAGGGGAGGAGCUGGCGAAGGCGGGUCUCGUCCUGCAAAGGGGAGAGAAGGGGAGAAGGAUGGAGGGGGUAACCAGGCAGGCAGCCACGGGCAGCGGUGCAGUUCCAAGACAAGUUUGGCCAGGCCAAGGAGGGGCUCUCCAGCCAAAGCCAUGUCAGGGGAGUCCCGCAUCUACCACACGCAUGGGCCGGUUUCAGUGGCCUGACGGUGCUCAGGCAUUCGCUGGGAGGGGCCCAUGGGAAGCGUGGCUUUCACGUGCACAUGAUGGUGGAUCAGGAAGUGUAUCCUGAUGCAACUGUACUUCCUGCAGCAUCGGAUCUGAGUGGUGCAUUUGCAUGGUCACUACAUCUCCCAAAUAAACUACCUGCACCAGA